rnacentral:misc_RNA from 1 species
UGGAAGUAAAAAGUCGUAACAAGGUUUCCGUAGGUGAACCUGCGGAAGGAUCAUUACCGAGUGCGGGCUGCCUCCGGGCGCCCAACCUCCCACCCGUGACUACCUAACACUGUUGCUUCGGCGGGGAGCCCCCUAGGGGCGAGCCGCCGGGGACCACUGAACUUCAUGCCUGAGAGUGAUGCAGUCUGAGCCUGAAUACAAAUCAGUCAAAACUUUCAACAAUGGAUCUCUUGGUUCCGGCAUCGAUGAAGAACGCAGCGAACUGCGAUAAGUAAUGUGAAUUGCAAGAAUUCAGUGAAUCAUCGAGUCUUUGAACGCACAUUGCGCCCCCUGGCAUUCCGGGGGGCAUGCCUGUCCGAGCGUCAUUGCUGCCCUCAAGCCCGGCUUGUGUGUUGGGUCGUCGUCCCCCCCGGGGGACGGGCCCGAAAGGCAGCGGCGGCACCGUGUCCGGUCCUCGAGCGUAUGGGGCUUUGUCACCCGCUCGAUUAGGGCCGGCCGGGCGCCAGCCGGCGUCUCCAACCUUAUUUUUCUCAGGUUGACCUCGGAUCAGGUAGGGAUACCCGCUGAACUUAAGCAUAUCAAUAAGCGGGAGGAA